rnacentral:lncRNA from 1 species
CCACAUUCGCUUCCGCAGCAUGACACCGACCAUAUCCAGUUGUAAUUAAUCGUCUAGUGAAGGCAACAUCUUUCUCUUUCAUUUGUGGUUCACAAAGGCUCAAGACUUUCUACAAGUUAACUCACCAAGCUUGUGUCUCUUGACAUCCAAACGUUGGAUAGAGAACAGUUGAAGUUGAAAUAUGAGUUUUUUCUUCCUCAGCUUCAUGAAUGUAAAUGACGGGAAGGUUCUCAGGACGGGG